AUUAGUAUAUAUAAAGAGUCAGAUAUAAUUAUCAAAAUUCGAAACUAAAAUCCAUCGGAAAUGGCUUUUUGCUUUCAUCAACGCUUUCUCUUGGAAAUUUUAAUUGUUGCAUUGAUUUUGAGUUCAGGAACAACGACUGGACAAGCUUUUAAGUGUAUAGGAAAAUGCUACCGUCCUUUAGAUUGUAGGGAUUAUUGCAGUAGCCUAGGUUUUAAGAAGUUUUACGGAUGUAUUUUAAUUGCGAGACUUUGCUGUUGUAGUGAUUGAGUUAUAUUGUACCCAUAGUUAUUUUAUAAAAUUUCAAUAAAAUGGGUGUUUAAAAUAAAA